AUUAAAGUGCAUGAGAAGUGCAGAUAAGCAGGUCCCCAUGUUUGAAUCCCAUACUUUUCUCUCUCUGUUUAUGAGUACAAGUGACGUAUUUCUUUUCAAGUAUUAUAAUAAAAAAAGAUAAUGGUAGUGAAUCAAAAUUUUAAAUUAAAUUUAGCUUAGAAAUUUUGGUUUUUCUAAUUUAUAAACGACGUGAUUAAAAUGUUCCACUUGUAUAAUAAAGGAAAAACGAUAAAUUAAAUAGGAAGUGUUAUUGGCACUUCAAAAAUCUCAUUCUACAUUUCUCACAAGUGUAGUUUUCUUUUUAAAUAUAGAAAGUUUGGAUUGUAGAAUGAGAAUUUUGGAAUGCCAAUAACAAUUCUCAAUUAAAUUUUCAUUUCACAUUAAUUGUAUUUUGUUUUUUUUAUCAAGGUUCUUUGACUUUCGUCCAUGUCAUUACUUAAAUAUUAAAUCAUUUACAUGUCAAUUUCAAAAAUAAAAAAUUUAUUAAUUAACCAUUCCAAAUAUACAUUUUGUAUUUUUCAUAUACUUCUAUUUUUAUUUUGUACCAAUUUUAUAAUGUAUCAAUAUUGUUUUUACUUUUUAUUUGUACCCACAUGAAUUUUAAUUUUAAUAUGCACCCAUAUUUCUUAAUAUAAUUUGUACCAUGUUUUUUUUGCUGAAUGUACCCAUAUCAAUAAUAUUUUUUUUUAAAUAUAUUAAUAAUUAUGCAAAUGCAUUAAUUUUUUUUUUAGAACUAUGAAAAGAAAAAUAUUACUCGAUUAUUGAUUGUUAAGUAAUUAUUAUAUUUUUCAAAAUAUUAUUUGAAUUUGCUUAUAUUUUAUAAUUUGUAGAACAUUAAAUGCAUAAUAAGUACAAAAAUUAAAUCACUUAAAUGAUGUUAGGAAUCUCGAUCAAACUGUUUUAACAAACAAGAUUUCAUUCUAAUAAUUAGUUGGGCUAAGAAUCGGAAGGAAAACAACCUUAGAAAAAGUAUAUAUUAUAAUUAAAAGAAAUAAUAAUGAUAGAAUAGUGUUCUGAAUAAAAAUCGUUCCUCUCUGUUUUGGCUGACUGCUGCGUUUGAUGACACUAGUGCGUACUGAUUAGAUUGAUGCAUGUAUGGUUAAGUGUCACGUGUCCGAAAUGUGAAAGGUGGGGUUUACUUCAUGUAUAAUAUGUAAGAUAUCUUGUGAGUUAACUAGUGCAUUAGUCGAAUUACCGAAGAAUCCAAGGUGCCACUGUGUGCUGGAUUGCAGGCGAGGAUCCUUUCCGGAUCGUUUGUGAGAUGAUUCCAGAAAUUCUCUAAUUACUUUUGUUGAUGCACAAAAUCAAUGAGGACUUUGGUACAACAGAAAAUGUUAAGUUUGUGACCUUCACUAGAUUGCUCCGGUCACCAGUGUGGAUAAAUAUGUAAAUGGAUAGACACAGGGAAGCAAACACAAGAUGUACGUGGUUCACCCAGAUUGGCUACGUCCACGGAGUAAAAGAGUUCUCAUUAAUUGUGAAGGGUUUACACAAGUACAUAGGUUCAAACUCUCCUUUAUUGAGUACAAGUGAAUGAUUUAGUACAAAUAACAUUCGAAAAUAUUGUGAGAGAAUGAUCUCUAUUUAUAGAAGAGAGUUUCUAGUUUCAUUUUGACAUUGACACGUGUCGUGUUGUGAUUCUCUU
rnacentral:lncRNA from 1 species